rnacentral:rRNA from 1 species
UACGAAGGUCCCAAGCGUUGUUCGGAAUCACUGGGCGUAAAGGGAGCGUAGGCGGCGCGGUAAGUCAGAUGUGAAAUCCCGGGGCUCAACCCCGGAACUGCAUCCGAUACUGCCGUGCUUGAGGGUUGGAGAGGUAGCUGGAAUUAUCGGUGUAGCAGUGAAAUGCGUGGAUAUCGAUAGGAACACUCGUGGCGAAGGCGAGCUACUGGACAACAUCUGACGCUGAGGCUCGAAGGCUAGGGGAGCAAAAGGG